CAGUCGCCACGGUAAUACAGAGGGUGCGAGCGUUAAUCGGAUUUACUGGGCGUAAAGCGUGCGUAGGCGGCUUCUUAAGUCGGAUGUGAAAUCCCUGAGCUUAACUUAGGAAUUGCAUUCGAUACUGGGAAGCUAGAGUAUGGGAGAGGAUGGUAGAAUUCCAGGUGUAGCGGUGAAAUGCGUAGAGAUCUGGAGGAAUACCGAUGGCGAAGGCGGCCCCCUGGACAAAGACUGACGCUCAGGUGCGAAAGCGUGGGGAGCAAACAGGAUUAGAUACCCCUGUAGUCCCUGUCUCUUAUAC
rnacentral:rRNA from 1 species